UACAGAGACUGCAAGCGUUGUUCGGAUUCAUUGGGCGUAAAGGGUGCGUAGGCGGUGAGAUAAGUCGGAUGUGAAAUCCCAAGGCUUAACCUUGGAAGUGCAUCCGAAACUGUCUUGCUCGAGGACUGGAAGGGAGACUGGAAUUCUCGGUGUAGCGGUGAAAUGCGUAGAUAUCGAGAGGAACACCGGUGGCGAAGGCGGGUCUCUGGACAGUUCCUGACGCUGAGGCACGAAAGCCAGGGGAGCAAACGGG
rnacentral:rRNA from 1 species